rnacentral:rRNA from 1 species
UGGGGAAUUUUGGACGAAUUGGGGGCAACCCGUCNUCCAGCAAUGCCGCGUGUGUGAAGAAGGCCUUCGGGUUGUAAAGCACUUUUGUCCGGAAAGAAAACGCCGUGGUUAAUACCCGUGGCGGAUGACGGUACCGGAAGAAUAAGCACCGGCUAACUACGUGCCAGCAGCCGCGGUAAUACGUAGGGUGCAAGCGUUAAUCGGAAUUACUGGGCGUAAAGCGUGCGCAGGCGGUCCGCUAAGACAGAUGUGAAAUCCCCGGGCUUAACCUGGGAACUGCAUUUGUGACUGGCGGGCUAGAGUAUGGCAGAGGGGGGUAGAAUUCCACGUGUAGCAGUGAAAUGCGUAGAGAUGUGGAGGAAUACCGAUGGCGAAGGCAGCCCCCUGGGCCAAUACUGACGCUCAUGCACGAAAGCGUGGGGAGCAAA